GCCACCGGGCCUGCCCUGGACCAACGUUCUUCUAACAGGACGAAUAUGCUUAACUCGUAUGAAACUGGACUGCAGUCUGCUCUAAAGGUGUGCCUCCUUCUUUGGCGAAUUUAUAAGGAAGUCCCCACAGCCCUCAGGACAGAGACUGAACAAGGGAUGUGACUGCUGUGAAUACUCCCAGCCAAAGGCCAUCAGGACACCCGGAGUUGAACAAGGGGUUAGAAAUUGCCCUGAAGGAAGAGGUGGACAACUCUGCCAGACACUGGGAAGAUCAGUGCGGAACACACGGCCAGGAUCCAGCCAGUCAGAACUGACUCCCCCAUCAAUCACAUCUUUGCAGAAAAAUCUACACCAGAGCUUGCUAGAUUCCUAGUAACUCAUGAUGGUGUUAACUGUUGGGGUCUGUACUACGUUUAUCAGCUGUAACAGUCACUGCUAAGGUUUGCAGUUUCCUUUCUGUUGCCAGCGGGAUCACGAGUCCACCGGGAGAAAUGAACAACUCCAGACGCGUGGUCUUAAGAGCUGUACCACUCACCAUGAAGCUCUGUGGCUUCACUUCUGAAUCCAGGGAGGCCACGAACCCACCAGAAGGUAGAAACUGUGAACCCGUUCAAACAUCAGAAGGAACGAACUGGACACGUUGUUCUUAAGAAGUGUAACACUGAUCGUGAGGGUCUGUGGUUUCAUUCAUGAAGUCAGUGAGACGAGGAACCCACCAAUUACAGACACAGUAUGAUGAACCAAAAACCCCAACACUUCCCUGCCAUAAAACAGGAAUCAAAUGAGGCCAGUAACAAAGACAGUUUGAGUCCAGGGCACUGAGUGAAGGCACUAGAUAUGCUGGGACUCAUCAUUGCUUUGGAACAGGGACAGGAUCUGGGUACGAAGUUUCUACCGCUCUUGUGGUGGGGAGUUGGGUUGGGCAUCACUUUCAUACGGCGAGAGGAAACGGUGGUGUCAUCUAUGUUAGCACUGGCUGCAGUGGAGCUUAAAAAACAUGUUGCAAGCUCUCACAUGGGUUCAAGUCUGAAUUUCCACUGCUACGUGGUCUGAAAACUGCAAGCAGGAAUUUACAUUUAAAGCACAUGGAGUCUAUAGUAUCCCCAGGUACUUCAGAGAAGCAAAUAUCAAUACUCCCUCGAGGAGUAAGUCUUCAAACAAGGCUUCCAAGCACCCCACAGGGUUAGUGGCACCAACUUUUAACUACUGUAACUAAUAAGGAGAAGCCAAGGGUACAUAUGAAGAAGUUGUUUAUGAGCAUUUGCCAACAAAAAAAGACCUGCAAAGACGUCAGAUACUGUAAGAACAGAAUACAGAAUAUAAAAUGGGUAUUCUUAAUAUGUUUCAAUGAGUAAAGGCAGAAAUAAGGUGAAGAGUCAGGAUGAAGGGAUCACCGAAGAUGAGCAGACAAAUUUGGGCAAAACUAGAAAUGUAAACUAUAAUAAUUGAAGUAAAAAGAAAACUCAAUGGAAGGGUUAAAAAAUUGCUGGAGAUGAGAGAACAAUUAGUAAACUCAGUUAUUCAAAAAUUAUACUAUUACACAAAGAGAUCAAUACAUUAAAAAUAGAAAAGUUUAAGAGACAAGUAGAAAAUCCACCGUACAUAUAAUCAGAAUUUGAGAGGCAGAUUGUUGAAAAAAAAUGCAAGGAAUAAAUUUUUUUUUUUUUUUUUUUUUUUGAGAUGGUCUCACCCUGCUGCCCAGGCUGGAGUGCAGUGGUGUGAUCUCGGCUCACUGCAAGCUGUGCCUCCCAGGUUCAAGCGGUUCUCCUGCCUCAGCCUCCUGAGUAGCUAGGAUUACAGGCACACGCCACCACGCCCAGCUAAUUUUUGUAUUUUUAGUAGAGACAGGGUUUCACCAUAUUGUCCAGGCUGGGCUCGAUCUCCUGCCUCGGCAUCCCAAAGUGCUGGGAUUACAGGCGGGAGCCACUGCACCUGGCCAAAAUAUUUCAAGAAGUAAUGACCAGUGUUUCUGGAAUGAAUGAAAGACCCAAAUCCAUCGUGUGUCUUUCAUUCCAUUUGAUUUCUCAUUUGGUUUUUCUUUUUGCAGCUGGGAAGUUUCAGGGUUAUUGGCUCAUCAUAGUACCAAAUCAUGACAGAUCCAAAGAAAGACAAAUAAAAGCCAGUCAAUAUUAGGACAUAUUAACAGUGCAACAGCAGAACAACAUAAACAAUAAGGGAUCGUGAAAGAAGAGACACUUUGCCACCGGGCGUGGUAAAUAAGCAUAUGUAAAGAUGAUGUCAACAUCUUGUAUCACCAAGUAUUACAAAUUUUUAAAAAAGGAAAUAGCACUACACACCUAUUAAA